rnacentral:rRNA from 1 species
UACAGAGGGUGCGAGCGUUGUCCGGAAUCACUGGGCGUAAAGGGCGCGUAGGUGGUGGCUUAAGCGUGCGGUGAAAGCUCGGGGCUCAACUCCGAGUCGGCCGUGCGAACUGGGCUCACUGGAGCAUAGUAGAGGCAGGUGGAAUUCCGGGUGUAGCGGUGGAAUGCGUAGAGAUCCGGAAGAACACCGGCGGCGAAGGCGGCCUGCUGGGCUAUGGCUGACACUGAGGCGCGACAGCGUGGGGAGCAAACAGG